rnacentral:rRNA from 1 species
GUAGGGAAUCUUCCACAAUGGGCGCAAGCCUGAUGGAGCAACACCGCGUGAGUGAAGAAGGGUUUCGGCUCGUAAAGCUCUGUUGUUAAAGAAGAACACGUAUGAGAGUAACUGUUCAUACGUUGACGGUAUUUAACCAGAAAGUCACGGCUAACUACGUGCCAGCAGCCGCGGUAAUACGUAGGUGGCAAGCGUUAUCCGGAUUUAUUGGGCGUAAAGAGAGUGCAGGCGGUUUUCUAAGUCUGAUGUGAAAGCCUUCGGCUUAACCGGAGAAGUGCAUCGGAAACUGGAUAACUCGAGUGCAGAAGAGGGUAGUGGAACUCCAUGUGUAGCGGUGGAAUGCGUAGAUAUAUGGAAGAACACCAGUGGCGAAGGCGGCUACCUGGUCUGCAACUGACGCUGAGACUCGAAAGCAUGGGUAGCGAACAGGAUUAGAUACCCUAGUAGUCC